rnacentral:rRNA from 1 species
GAUGAACGCUGGCGGCGUGCCUAAUACAUGCAAGUCGAGCGAACGGACGAGAAGCUUGCUUCUCUGAUGUUAGCGGCGGACGGGUGAGUAACACGUGGAUAACCUACCUAUAAGACUGGGAUAACUUCGGGAAACCGGAGCUAAUACCGGAUAAUAUUUUGAACCGCAUGGUUCAAAAGUGAAAGACGGUCUUGCUGUCACUUAUAGAUGGAUCCGCGCUGCAUUAGCUAGUUGGUAAGGUAACGGCUUACCAAGGCAACGAUGCAUAGCCGACCUGAGAGGGUGAUCGGCCACACUGGAACUGAGACACGGUCCAGACUCCUACGGGAGGCAGCAGUAGGGAAUCUUCCGCAAUGGGCGAAAGCCUGACGGGGCAACGCCGCGUGAGUGAUGAAGGUCUUCGGAUCGUAAAACUCUGUUAUUAGGGAAGAACAUAUGUGUAAGUAACUGUGCACAUCUUGACGGUACCUAAUCAGAAAGCCACGACUAACUACGUG